AACCUAGCACACCUGCGGUGUGUACCUGCGGAGGGAUCAUUACCAUAAGAAAAGAAUUUCAUGUUCUUUAGAUCCAAUCGUGUACUCGUACUCGUUGCUUCCAUGGGGUUUGGGUUUCGGUAUCCAUUCGUCUGCCCUUUGGGGUCAGGCACCCAUGGAAGAUAUGUAAACACUCCGAAUUGAUAGUAUUUGUCUGAGUAAAGGUAGAAAAUACAAGUUAAAAACUUUUAACAAUGGAUC
rnacentral:misc_RNA from 1 species